rnacentral:rRNA from 1 species
UUCCCGGGUCUUGUACACACCGCCCGUCACACCACGGGAGUUGGAGACGCCCGAAGCCGAUUAUCUAACCUUUUGGAAGAAGUCGUCGAAGGUGGAAUCAAUAACUGGGGUGAAGUCGUAACAAGGUAGCCGUAUCGGAAGGUGCGGCUGGAUCACCUCCUUUCUAAGGAGAAUU